rnacentral:rRNA from 1 species
UACAGAGGGGGCUAGCGUUGUUCGGAAUUACUGGGCGUAAAGCGCGCGUAGGCGGACCUGCAAGUCGGGGGUGAAAGCCCGAGGCUCAACCUCGGGACUGCCUUCGAUACUGCGGGUCUCGAGUCCGGGAGAGGUGAGUGGAAUUCCUGGUGUAGCGGUGAAAUGCGCAGAUAUCAGGAAGAACACCCGUGGCGAAGGCGGCUCUCUGGGACGGUACUGACGCUGAGACGCGAAAGCGUGGGGAGCGAACAGG